GAGUAAUGCCUAGGAAAUUGCCCUGAUGUGGGGGAUAACCAUUGGAAACGAUGGCUAAUACCGCAUGAUGCCUACGGGCCAAAGAGGGGGACCUUCGGGCCUCUCGCGUCAGGAUAUGCCUAGGUGGGAUUAGCUAGUUGGUGAGGUAAGGGCUCACCAAGGCGACGAUCCCUAGCUGGUCUGAGAGGAUGAUCAGCCACACUGGAACUGAGACACGGUCCAGACUCCUACGGGAGGCAGCAGUGGGGAAUAUUGCACAAUGGGCGCAAGCCUGAUGCAGCCAUGCCGCGUGUGUGAAGAAGGCCUUCGGGUUGUAAAGCACUUUCAGUCGUGAGGAAGGUAGUGUAGUUAAUAGCUGCAUUAUUUGACGUUAGCGACAGAAGAAGCACCGGCUAACUCCGUGCCAGCAGCCGCGGUAAUACGGAGGGUGCGAGCGUUAAUCGGAAUUACUGGGCGUAAAGCGCAUGCAGGUGGUUUGUUAAGUCAGAUGUGAAAGCCCGGGGCUCAACCUCGGAAUUGCAUUUGAAACUGGCAGACUAGAGUACUGUAGAGGGGGGUAGAAUUUCAGGUGUAGCGGUGAAAUGCGUAGAGAUCUGAAGGAAUACCGGUGGCGAAGGCGGCCCCCUGGACAGAUACUGACACUCAGAUGCGAAAGCGUGGGGAGCAAACAGGAUUAGAUACCCUGGUAGUCCACGCCGUAAACGAUGUCUACUUGGAGGUUGUGGCCUUGAGCCGUGGCUUUCGGAGCUAACGCGUUAAGUAGACCGCCUGGGGAGUACGGUCGCAAGAUUAAAACUCAAAUGAAUUGACGGGGGCCCGCACAAGCGGUGGAGCAUGUGGUUUAAUUCGAUGCAACGCGAAGAACCUUACCUACUCUUGACAUCCAGAGAACUUUCCAGAGAUGGAUUGGUGCCUUCGGGAACUCUGAGACAGGUGCUGCAUGGCUGUCGUCAGCUCGUGUUGUGAAAUGUUGGGUUAAGUCCCGCAACGAGCGCAACCCUUAUCCUUGUUUGCCAGCGAGUAAUGUCGGGAACUCCAGGGAGACUGCCGGUGAUAAACCGGAGGAAGGUGGGGACGACGUCAAGUCAUCAUGGCCCUUACGAGUAGGGCUACACACGUGCUACAAUGGCGCAUACAGAGGGCGGCCAACUUGCGAAAGUGAGCGAAUCCCAAAAAGUGCGUCGUAGUCCGGAUUGGAGUCUGCAACUCGACUCCAUGAAGUCGGAAUCGCUAGUAAUCGUGGAUCAGAAUGCCACGGUGAAUACGUUCCCGGGCCUUGUACACACCGCCCGUCACACCAUGGGAGUGGGCUGCAAAAGAAGUAGGUAGUUUAACCUUCGGGGGGACGCUUACCACUUUGUGGUUCAUGACUGGGGUGAAGUCGUAACAAGGUAGCGCUAGGGGAACCUGGCGCUGGAUCACC
rnacentral:rRNA from 1 species